GAAAAGGUGGAGGAGGGGACUGUUUGAAAAGGUGGAGGAGGGGGACUGUUUGAAAAGGUGGAGGAGGAGGACUGUUUGAAAAGGUGGAGGAGGGGGACUGUUUGAAAAGGUGGAGGAGGAGGACUGUUUGAAAAGGUGGAGGAGGAGGACUGUUUGAGAAGGUGGAGGAGGAGGACUGUUUGAAAAGGUUGUGGAGGGGGACUAUUAGAAAAGGUGGAGGAGAGGACUGUUUGAAAAGGUGGAGGAGGGGACUAUUAGGAAAGAUGGAGGAGGGGACUGUUUGAAAAGGUGGAGGAGGAGGACUGUUUGAAAAGGUGGAGGAGGGGACUAUUAGGAAAGAUGGAGGAGGGGACUGUUUUAAAAGGUGGAGGAGGGGACUGUUUGAAAAGGUGGAGGAGGGGACUAUUAGGAAAGAUGGAGGAGGGGACUGUUUAAAAAGGUGGAGGAGGGGACUGUUUGAAAAGGUGGAGGAGGGGACUGUUUGAAAAGGUGGAGGAGGGGACUGUUAGAAAAGGUGGAGGAGGAGGACUAUUUGAAAAGGUGGAGGAGGAGGACUGUUUGAAAAGGUGGAGGAGGGGGACUGUUUGAAAAGGUGGAGGAGGGGACUGUUUGAAAAGGUGGAGGAGGGGACUGUUUGAAAAGGUGGAGGAGGGGACUGUUUGAAAAGGUGGAGGAG